rnacentral:rRNA from 1 species
GAUGAACGCUGGCGGCGUGCCUAAUACAUGCAAGUCGAGCGAAUAGACGAGGAGCUUGCUCCUCUGACGUUAGCGGCGGACGGGUGAGUAACACGUGGAUAACCUACCUAUAAGACUGGGAUAACUUCGGGAAACCGGAGCUAAUACCGGCUAAUAUCUUGAACCGCAUGGUUCAAUAGUGAACGACGGUUUUGCUGUCACUUAUAGAUGGAUCCGCGCCGCAUUAGCUAGUUGGUAAGGUAACGGCUUACCAAGGCAACGAUGCGUAGCAGACCUGAGAGGGUGAUCGGCCACACUGGAACUGAGACACGGUCCAGACUCCUACGGGAGGCAGCAGUAGGGAAUCUUCCGCAAUGGGCGAAAGCUUGACGGAGCAACGCCGCGUGUGUGAUGAAGGUCUUCGGAUCGUAAAACUCUGUUAUCAGGGAAGAACAACUGUGUAAGUAACUAUGCACGUCUUGACGGUACCUAAUCAGAAAGCCCCGGCUAACUACGUG